AUCCCCCUGCCAGCGUUGGUCU
rnacentral:miRNA from 1 species